CACGUAGGGGGCAAGCGUUGUCCGGAAUUAUUGGGCGUAAAGAGCUCGUAGGCGGCUCGGUAAGUCAGGUGUCAAAUCCUCAGGCUCAACCUGGGGCUCCACCUGAUACUGCUGUGGCUAGAGUCCGGUAGGGGAGCGUGGAAUUCCUGGUGUAGCGGUGAAAUGCGCAGAUAUCAGGAGGAACACCAGUGGCGAAGGCGGCGCUCUGGGCCGGAACUGACGCUGAGGAGCGAAAGCGUGGGUAGCAAACAGG
rnacentral:rRNA from 1 species